CUUGUGGAUUCUUGCUGUAUGCAUGC
rnacentral:piRNA from 1 species